CUAGUGGUAUGAUUCGCGC
rnacentral:siRNA from 1 species